rnacentral:rRNA from 1 species
AUUGAACGCUGGCGGCAUGCCUUACACAUGCAAGUCGAACGGCAGCAUGGAGAGCUUGCUCUCUGAUGGCGAGUGGCGAACGGGUGAGUAAUGCAUCGGAACGUACCGUGUAAUGGGGGAUAACGUAGCGAAAGUUACGCUAAUACCGCAUACGACCUGAGGGUGAAAGCAGGGGAUCGCAAGACCUUGCGUUAUACGAGCGGCCGAUGUCAGAUUAGCUAGUUGGUGAGGUAAGGGCUCACCAAGGCGACGAUCUGUAGCGGGUCUGAGAGGAUGAUCCGCCACACUGGGACUGAGACACGGCCCAGACUCCUACGGGAGGCAGCAGUAGGGAAUUUUGGACAAUGGGGGCAACCCUGAUCCAGCCAUGCCGCGUGAGUGAAGAAGGCCUUCGGGUUGUAAAGCUCUUUCGGCCGGGAAGAAAUCGCACAGGCUAAUACUCUGUGUGGAUGACGGUACCGGCAUAAGAAGCACCGGCUAACUACGUGCCAGCCGCCGCGGUAA